ACACUUGGUUUUGGCUUGUUUGCAAAUGUCACUUGGCCAGUAAUGAAAACAGAUCUUUAGCCAGGCGUCUCGGGUGAGUUCACUCCCAAAAACAGAGGUGAAACUCAAAUCGACACCCCCACCUCCACCCCGCAAGCUUCUUCUACUUUCUACUCAACGUUUCUUUGGUGGACGGAAAAGGUCUUUGCAGUUCUGCCUGCUCCGUUAUUCGCCGAGUUUGCAACAUGAGAGGGAUGGUAUGUGACUCGUGUGACUCGGCGUUGUGCUUGUUCGAUAGAGGGUCCAGCACAGAACAGAAAGAGUACUGGUUUGAGUGGUAGGAAAAGAGGACUUAUUUGAACCCCCAGAAACAUGCUGUGUUGGCUCAAUCCACGUGGCAGAAGGAGGCUAUCGGCUUCAAACGAAAUCUGAUCCUGGAAGUCUGGUCACAGGGGUCCCAGAUGCAGAUGCAGUCAUGCCAUCAUUGUUGGUCUGUGCACAUCACACUGGAGGACCAUGUUAUUUGGUAUGCAGGUCGGUGCAUCUGCCCACAUCACACUCUUACCCUGAUGUCAGAGCCUGUCAGGCUGAAACCUUGUCAUCCCAUUUUUGUACACCAUGUUAAAGACCGUCCCGGUUUUCGGGCCAGCAAAUCAAACAAAAAUACUUGAUCAUCUCUCUUUUAUCACCUAGAAGGUUGUAUGAUGUAGGUAUUGAAGGUCACCUAGAUCUGAUGGAGUCUCAAACAGAAUAUCUCUGUGUAUAUCCCAUUAACGUAUUAGUGCCUGAAAAAGAUGGCACACUUUGAGUCAAGCUACGGACGAGACAUUUCUUGAGGAAUGAACGUGAGCACACUUCUGCAGUGGGUGAUGGGUCCGGGGAGGUUGUAGAAAACCAUGCUUCGAUGGAGGCAUUUUGCCAUCAACAUUGAGUUUUACUUGCACAAAAAUAUUCUGAGGGCAGAAGGAACAAUGAUUGGUUCAGAGAGAUAACCAGUAAGACUGCAGAGGAGCUGGGUUCAGGUAACUAGAGGAGGCGGGACCAACCAAUCAGAUGUCCUGGCCCCACCUCCUCUAGUUGCUUGGACCUGUCUCCUGUACAAUCUCAUUGGUUAUCUCUCUGAACCAAUCAUUGUUCCAUCUGCCCUCAGAACAUUUUUCUCCCAUGAGCUGUUUCUCCACCAGUUGUUGAUCCACCCACACAUCUUCCAGUCUACUACAGUCAUGGAGAGCCUGGUUUCUCCCAGGAAGCUGGACCGGAAGCACCAGGAUGGAAUCCUUUUGUCCUGAUACACAGAUGGGAGCUGAUUUACAUGACAGCCCUUUGAUUCCUCAUGAAUAUGUGUCUCGCAUACACAGGAACUACUCAAACAUUCUGCUCAGUGCAAACUACAGUAAAUAUGACACAUAGCUCAUUUAUUUAUUGCUGGGUAAAUAUUUUUUUUUUUACUCUUACAUUUCAUUACAAUAUUUCCAAACUCAAUGCCUACAAGAUGACUUGUGACUCAUUGACAUUUGUAAUUGCUACUUGUGAAGGGAAUCUGUCAACAGCAAUUGACACUAAAUUCAUUUUGAAUGUCAGCUUUAAGGGCAUAUUCCAUCUGUUUUAUACUGUAUUUCCAUACUAAGUGAAGCUUGCUGCUGAAUGAAUGGCAUUAUCAUCAUAUGAGCAAUAACAAACAAACAGAAUAAUGUUAAACUCUACUCAGAAGUUUCAUGAUUACUCCUUUAUGAUGCCAUAAUUGUAUCCAUGACAACAUAUCCACAAAGGCAAACGUUCUCUCUCCUCAAGCAGAAAAAUACACGAAAUUCCCUAGCAGUUGUCGUCAUCGACCCACUUCUGAAACGACGCAUCUUGAAAACUGUAUCAGUGCUAUAAAAAUGAUAAUGACAGCAAAGCAAAGGGCUUAUCCAGCCCAUCUGUUGUUCGGUCCAUGCCAACGCAAACCGAAAUAGCUCAGCUAACGCUAAAAGCACCGCUAAAUAUCGCACUGUCUCAGUCGCUUUGAAAAAACAGUCAUUAUGGCUGUAUAUAAUUAUACGAGUGCCUUUUUUGGUAAUUAUUAUCUUUUGCUUUGCUGUGACGGGGAACAGGCGCAUCAAAAUAUUCAUUAAGAAAUCUCAGCGGAGUUCUGCGAAACAGAUAAAUAAAACAGACAAUUGCGGAUCAUAUUUUAUGAGGCUGGGGGUUGGAAAAUUGGGUGUGACGCCAAAGAAUCACAGUCAAAACUGUUAGCGAGCAGAAAUCUGUCAGUUUAUUGAGCACAUAUUCUAAAAGGCCCAUGUGGUUCAUGGAUGUGAAAGCUGGAAUCCACAGUCGAUCUGGUAUAAACCAGUUCAGGCUCCACCCGUGAAGAUCAGGGGUCUCCAACUCUGGUCCUGGAGGGCUACCGUCCAGUACGUUUUCUAUCCUACUUGGCUUCUGUUGAGCCAC